GUAAGGUUGAGAUGCAACAAGCCAUAAUAAAAAAAGAAUAAUGCGAUGCAAAGGCUCUUGCAAAUAGUUGAACAGCUUUUAGAACCAAAUGUGGAUUCUGACUGGCUUCUGCAAAAUUUACAAUUUAUAAAUAAAGCACACUUGGAGGAUGUAAUAGAAGAAAGAGUUAUCAUAAAACUAUGUGGUUCAUCAUGUUAUGGGGCAUCUAAUUAUUUACUUGAACAAUGAAAAGCUUGAACAAAUGCUUGAGAGUCCGCUGUGGUCAAGAAGAAAAGAGGAUAUAUUCAGUUUUUAAAAUUUUACCUAUAAAUUCUGGCUCAGGUUGAGCCUAUAAAUUCUGGCUCAACCUGAAAUUAUAUAUUUUUAGAUUUUAUACUCAUGUAUUUGACUUUGUAGUUAUAUAUAUAUAUAUAUAUAUAUAUGUGUCCAUUCACAAUUUAUCUAGAAUUUAUAGGUCAAAUUUUAAAAACUGAUAUAUCCUUUUCUGGCUAAUUGACAAGCAAUUGCAAUCGGUGCUCAAGUCUAAACAAGCUUCCAUGUACACGUUGACGAUUCUUAUGUCUUAUAAAUGAAAUUCGGGUUACUUAGAUAGGCUCAUAGUAGAUGUGAUAAACAAUAUAACUGAUAUAAGUGAUAAAAAAAUAUAUAUGAAUCGUAUAAUGAACAAAAUUUAUUAGAAUAAUGAUAUUUACAUAUAUAUUCUGUUUUGUUUUAGUAGAUUCAACUUUGUUAAUAUUUACCUUUUCUCCUACAUUUUAAUAUAAAACAUUUUGUUAAAAACAGUUAUAAUACUGUUUACUGUUUAUAAUAUUAUAAUUAUGUAUCAGAUCUUUGAUACACAUUUGUAUACGAGUGUAAG